GAUGAACGCUAGCGGCAGGCUUAAUACAUGCAAGUCGAGGGGCAGCAUGAGUGUAGCAAUACAUUUGAUGGCGACCGGCAAACGGGUGCGGAACACGUACACAACCUUCCUAUAAGUGGGGAAUAGCCCAGAGAAACUUGGAUUAAUACCCCGUAACAUAAUGGUGUGGCAUCACAUUGCUAUUAUAGAUUUUUCGCUUGUUGAUGGGUGUGCGGCUGAUUAGAUAGUUGGCGGGGUAACGGCCCACCAAGUCUACGAUCAGUAGCUGAUGUGAGAGCAUGAUCAGCCACACGGGCACUGAGACACGGGCCCGACUCCUACGGGAGGCAGCAGUAAGGAAUAUUGGACAAUGGACGCAAGUCUGAUCCAGCCAUGCCGCGUGAAGGAUUAAGGUCCUCUGGAUUGUAAACUUCUUUUAUAAGGGACGAAAAAAGGCUUUUCUAAGUCGUCUGACGGUACCUUAUGAAUAAGCACCGGCUAACUCCGUGCCAGCCGCCGCGGUAAAAC
rnacentral:rRNA from 1 species